UACGGAGGAUGCAAGCGUUAUCCGGAAUUAUUGGGCGUAAAGCGUCCGCAGGUGGUUGUGCAAGUCUGCCGUCAAAGCCAGUGGCUUAACUACUGAAAGGCGGUGGAAACUGCACGACUAGAGUGUGGUAGGGGCAGAGGGAAUUCCCGGUGUAGCGGUGAAAUGCGUAGAGAUCGGGAAGAACACCAGUGGCGAAAGCGCUCUGCUGGACCGCAACUGACACUCAUGGCCGAAAGCUAGGGGAGCGAAUGGG
rnacentral:rRNA from 1 species